rnacentral:rRNA from 1 species
AUUGAACGCUGGCGGCAUGCCUUACACAUGCAAGUCGAACGGUAACAGGUCUUCGAAUGCUGACGAGUGGCGAACGGGUGAGUAAUACAUCGGAACGUGCCUAGUAGUGGGGGAUAACUACUCGAAAGAGUGGCUAAUACCGCAUGAGAUCUACGGAUGAAAGCAGGGGAUCGCAAGACCUGGUGCUACUACAGCGGCCGGAGGCAGAUUAGGUAGUUGGGGGGAUAAAAGCUUACCAAGCCGACGAUCUGUAGCUGGUCUGAGAGGACGGUAAGCCACACUGGGACUGAGACACGGCCCAGACUCCUACGGGAGGCAGCAGUGGGGAAUUUUGGACAAUGGGCGCAAGCCUGAUCCAGCAAUGCCGCGUGCAGGAUGAAGGCCUUCGGGUUGUAAACUGCUUUUGUACGGAACGAAAAGCCCUGGGUUAAUACCCUGGGGUCAUGACGGUACCGUAAGAAUAAGCACCGGCUAACUACGUGCCAGCCGCCGCGGUAA